CGGCACAGUAGCUCGAUACGUUUGCUUCAUGAGCUACAGCGCAUGUGUCGAAGCCUCCUGUAUCAGAGGACCAUCACUACUUGUUUUUGGAGUAAAACACGGUGGAAGCUGAAUUAGUGAGGAUGACUCCUGCUCCUGUCAUCUCUAAGCUCCUCACACAUCUUUACCUGCACAUGAGGAAAAUCAUUCCUGUAGAAUGCAGAUGUUCAGAGGGAGAUGAUGCCACAUCUGGUCCAGCUGAUGGAAGGUCUUGAAGUUCUCUGACUGGCCUCGACUGAAGAUGGUCGUCUCACUGGAUUUAAGGUUCAGAUGCUCAGUAACAAACUCCACCAAUGUGCCAACAGGGAAGCUUUAGGUUUAUUAAAUGUUGCUAUGAAGGUUUCGCUGUUUUUCUUUGUGAAUGCAAUGUGCUCCAACUGAAACUUGAAUUAGAACUUAGAAGUAAAUCCUUCCAUCUGAAAGGAUUUAGUUGCAUUAAUAACCUCAUAACAUUCUAAUUUUUAUUCCAGUCUUGGUUGAAAAUAGAAUCUCUGUAUUGAUUCAGGUAAAAACUGAACUUCACAGCAUGUUGGAGCAAAACAACCAGAUGAAAACUGUGAUGGUGUUGGAUUGUCAGACCGUAAUGUUGCAGCUCAAAGCAGCUUUUCUAGCUCAGUUCAUUCUGACAUUCAGCUAUGAAUCAACACAGCAGAUGGUGAUCCAUGCUGUGGAAGUCUCACAUCUCCUGAUUUAAUGGAGCUGCUUUGCACUGUUUACACUGUUUAUUCACCAACACUUUAUUUAAUAAAAGUCCCAUCUAGUUUUUAUGAGGAAAGUGAUGUUUUAAUUUCUCUGUGAAUAACUGCAGUCUAAUGUAACAGCUGGAAUUGUAACAUCUGUCCUGAUAUUGAUCAUGAAGUAUUGAUCAGAAUACUUAUGGUCAGCAGUCAUCCCUGAAGUUUUACAUUAAAAUCUUUACUUGUGUUGUGAACUUUGGUAAGAAGCAGAAACGUUAGCGUUGCCAUGGAUACAUGAGUGUUAAAUUCUGUCCAUGUUUCCAUUUUGGGAAAUUCAGUCCAGUUCCAGAAUGUGGAGGAAUUUAGUCUCAAUCACAGACAACAAAUAUUAUCUGAAAGUCGGGUUAUUGUUGUUUAUCAGCACAAUACAAAAAGAUUAAUGUUAGAAAUAUUCCAGUUAAGACUCGAGAAUAUCAUGAUUUAUGUAAAUUUACCUCAAUAAAAUGUAAAUACACUGAACUGAUUUGGAUAUAUUUAAGUGAGACUCUACAAUAUUAUUUGACACAAAUCUAUCUAAAUCAAAAUUUUAAUAAUUUUCACGCCAAACAUUUACUGGACUGAUUUAAAUAUUAAAAUCACUCCUUUCUAAUCCUCUGCUGUACAUUCAAACCUGAGGCCUUAAAUAGAAACACACAAGUAUCUGUUUGAAGGAACUUCUGCAGAGUCCUGGUUCCAGAACAUGAUGAUAGAAUUAUAGACAAACUUUAACAAAAGUUGCCUGAGAGUUUACAGGUUUUUAUGUUGGAUUUCUUCAGUAGUUUAAUGAGCAUUAUCAGCAAUAAUCAAGUGUUCAUUUGAUGAACUUCAUUUCCUAAAACAUCCAGAAUUGGAGCUCAUAUCUUUGGCAGCUGUAAAGUUUCUGCUCCUUCAAAGUUCACAACACAAUGAAUUAAUUCCUAAAACACUCUCAAUGCUGGAGAGCGUUUGUGAUGCUGAAGCAGUGAUCAGUUUUUCUGUUUCUUCUCUGGAGAUGCACAAUGAGGGACGUCUGCAGAGACUGAGAAAGAGUCUCACCACAUCCUGACAUGAGGGAAAAGACUUUAUUGAAGACUACAAUGAGAAAAACUAUCAGACAGCAGACGGCUGCAUUCAAAGUGAGCUCUGAACAUUUGAUCUGGAACAGGAAUUCAGUAACGGCAGCAUGAGCUUCAUUUCAGUCUGUAGCUGCUUAAUUCAUGGAUGAAUCAUCUGGCACUAGAGAGGAAGACCAUCAAACAUCCACGUCACCUGAUGGAGGUCCAAAAGUCUCACCAAACAAACAACCUACAGAGUGAAGACCUCAAAUCUGAUUGGACGGCCUCCUAUUCAGCCACAUGUGUGAAUAAAUGCCUCUAAGCUGAUUUGUUUUCUAAAAUAAAUCUAGUU